GGCUAGCUAGCAUUUUAAACUUCAGUUAAGCAGUUCUGCGUCAAAUCAUGUAAAUCAGACCGUCCGCCACCCUCGUACAUGAUAAAGAAUAGCACGAGUAAGCAAGCAGUAUCCCACUGUUUUGUGUUGGCUCGAUGUCAAUAGACAAACUUUGAACCGUAGUUCUGUGUAAGUGUCGUGGUUUUCACCGUUUCAGUAUGUAGUUGAAUAUGUUAGAUCUGGGCAACUGGUCAACACUGUCGUGUUUUGUCUCGGUAGACCUCGUAUGACGGUGUUAGGAAAAUACCGGCAGUUGUUUCAGAUGGAGGGUGCGACAUGCCAGAUGCACGCUCUGUUCGAGGGAUAAAACGGCCACGCACGAGAUUUUGUAGGCAAUGGUAAUUGGUGACGAUACCAUGGCGUUUGAAAAGAAGUUUGAGUUUUAGGUGGUAGAGUUGGACAGCAGUACCUUCAAUGCACUGGGAACUAACGUGCUCUCCCCCCCUCUCUCUUCUCUCUUAAUCAGGGCCCAGGUCUUGUGGCCACAUCUGUCCAAGCUCCUACUCUGAACAGUUGGAUGAUCAGACUGAUGAUGAAAAGUGCUACACAGUUCUCACACAUCUUCUACCUCCGAAGCCGCUGCAGUGUAAAAUCUGAGAUGUCUUUUCUGGUUGAUUUUGUGCAGAUUUCUGACAGCGAUGGUGAGGGAAGCAGUGUACCGAACUCUCAGAUGACUCGGACCAGGUGACCAAACCCAUGCAAAACACAAUGACUGUGCUGAGGCGUUCCGCCCCCCUCCCCCUCCCCCUCCACACCACUCAAGGCACGGCGGCGGCCCAACCACAAACUAGCGGAGAUUAACAAGAGGCUGGAUGCUGCGUCCAUCACCAGAGGGGCCGGGAUUGCUGCGGCAGCUAGCCAAUUAAAGGAGGAGGAUGAAGGAGAGGAGUCUGACGAUGCAGACAUCGCCAUCGUAUGUAGGCCACGCCCUCGCAGGAAAACCAGCCAAUGAAAACGCUCGCAGCAGCAUCAGCAGAACACACCGGCACGACUGACAGGGCUUCUGAAGCAUGCAGUGGAAGAGCUGUCAGUCAAGCUAAAGGUCCCGCCCUCCAACCUGCUGCUGCUGCACGGACAGGCGGAACUUAACACCUCACACACUAUUGGCCAGCUAGGACUCUGCAUCGCUGACAUCAUUGUCUGGAACCAACUUCACAUCCCUCUUCACUGCACUACUGACACUGAGAUGGAAUCCACAACCCAACCACUAGUGGUCUGCAUUGGGAAUCUGAAGAGUCUGUCAUCACCGCCAGGAAUGACCGCGUGACCAUUCCCGUUGCAGACGGCCUGACUUGCACAAUUGACAAGCUGUUCAACUGGGUCUGCAACUUGUCAUAUCCAGCACAGCUCAGCUCUGUUUUCACCUUCUUUGAAUAUGUUUAUGACGUUCCAUCUCAACCAACAAACGACCAAAGGUACUAGAACUUCUCUCAAAGCUUCCCAGCAACCCAUUGAUCACUCAACAUGUGUUUAUGCCCAAAAUGUAAAUAGUUACUACAGACAUCAAGAAAGUAGUUUGGCAUCUUUGUCAAGUACACGCUUUGUCAGAUGCACAGGGCAUGACGAUAAUUUGCAGCCAAGAUGGCUGUUCAAGUGUACAAGGACUUACUACGUAGACACCACCAGUCCACAACAACAGAAAUGGGUGUAUCUUUCAAUGACUCUUUUGAAUCCACUGACAUUCAGACAACCUAUGCAGCUUCAAGUAACACCUGAAGAAAGAGCAUUUUGUGUUCCUUCUCAAGGACAGAUUCUCCAUAAUUUACCACUUAAUGACAAUUUAUCUGUGUUCAUGCUUGUUAGGAUUAUUACAGAGAAUUAUUUUGAUUAUCAUUUUGGCAACACUUUAUUUUAGCAUUACAUCUAUUAGCUCUAAUACAUACAGUGUUAAUGCCUGUAUGCUCUAAGUAACUUGUAAGGCAUGCACUAAGCAAGAUCAAAUAUAUGUUAGGCAUGUAUUCGCAAAUUACUUGUUCAUGCACAAUUAGGGAUUUAUUACCUAAUAUAACCUCAAUAAGGACCUAACAAAUGUUUGAUUUCGCUUAGUACAUGCCUUACAAGUUACUUAUACAGGCAUUAACCCAUUGAUGCUGGAUGUUGCAUUGGCCCUGGCGCCUGGAGUUUUGUAUGGCAUCAGCACCCUUUUCUGCAAGUGCUUUAGGCAUCAAUGGGUUAACAUUGUAUGUAUUAGUGCUAAGCGAUGUAAUGUUAAAAUUAAGUGUUACCAUCAUAUUUAAAAAAAUAUAUAUAUAUAUGUUGUAAAACUGGACGAUUGUGA